AAAUUGAAGAGUUUGAUCAUGGCUCAGAUUGAACGCUGGCGGCAGGCCUAACACAUGCAAGUCGAACGGUAACAGGAAUCAGCUUGCUGAUUCGCUGACGAGUGGCGGACGGGUGAGUAAUGUCUGGGAAACUGCCUGAUGGAGGGGGAUAACUACUGGAAACGGUAGCUAAUACCGCAUAACGUCGCAA
rnacentral:rRNA from 1 species